rnacentral:misc_RNA from 1 species
GAAUGUUAUACAUCUUGGUACAAGAUGUCAGGUCAAAAUCACUGAUGCGUUGGUGACCAUAAAUCUUGUAAACUUCAUAGCCUGGAACGCCGAGGCAAGGGACUUUGCCAUAUAUAUGUUCCUUUGGUGAAGAACAAUUGAAUAAGGUAUAAUCGCUCAGGUACUGAUCUGAUGAUUCAAAUAUGAAAGGAGAAGCAGAAAAGUCAAUGUUUAAAGCCUGUCUCGCAAAGCAAUCAUCAGGAUCAGACACAUUAAUAAUUUGAGAUACAUAAUCAAUAUCUUGUAUGUAUAGUUUCACGGAAUCUGGUAGCUCAAGUAAUGUCUCGUUCCUCUCUGUGCAUGACAAAUCAAACCCAGGAUAUCCACAGAGCUCUGGUUGCCGAUCUUUGAGCCGGAACGGGAAUCGGAUGUCCGGGCCAGACCCACAGCUUGAUUUUGGACAGCAGGGAAGGGCUUGCCCAAGUUCUCCAAGGACCAAAACGAACAAGCAGAAGAUAGAAACACUCGUUUCCAAAGAAAAAUAUUUCAUCUGGGCAGCCUGCCUAGCCUGUUUUAGGCUUCCAAAUAU